rnacentral:sRNA from 1 species
CAGCAGGCCAUCACUGAUGCUUCCUCUGUCCUACCCAGCAAUUUACUUCAGUGUUACACCACAUGUGGCCAAGGAUUGACUCAAUGUAGUAUACUAGCCGCAGACUCACAGGAACACAAAAAAUGCUCUAUAAAUUACUAUCAAUGCAUUGAUGGCUGUCAUGGAUUUAAUUAUACAACACAAUUUACAACCUCCAAUGCUUCAUCCAAUUUUGCCAUUUCUCAUGUGCUUGCUGUUUUGGAUUGUGAACACCAAUGUGUAAAAGAAUUCCUAAAGUGUGGAAAUCAUGCCAACAGCUCACAUGACCACACCCUUUGCACUCACACAUACUCUCAUUGUGAACAUGCAUGUAUGAAAGUCAACACUACGCAACAUGCCCUUACAGACCCAUUCCUUGGUCACAUUUUUGUUGUUGUGGGAUGUGAUGACAAUUGCUUGAAACAUCUUUUAAAUUGUGGAAAAUCUUCUUCUUACAGCUUUGUUGUUCACCAGUGUGAACAAACGUAUCAUCAAUGUAUGCAUGACUGUGGUAAUUUAAACAUUUCACACCAUUUGGUCAGUCCUUCCCCGAGUACACCACAGAGGCCCAUGACUACAGCAGCCCCUAUAACUGGCAUAACCCAAACAAAGACUUCAGUAUCAGCAUCCACCAAAACAACAGAAACUAUAACACAACAACCAGCAGUCAAAACAACAAAACUGAUGUGGGUGACUCUGCCAACAAAUCCUCAUGGAAAGUGACCAGAGGGUAUGCAUUCUGAACAGAAGAUGGAAACAAUCCAGACAAUUUGUAUCCAACUUUUCCAUAUACAAAAUAAAGCCUGAUGGUUACU